GCCUUGAAAGCUCACGAGCUAGGGCGCCUGGUCUUGUAAACCAGGAGAGAGGGUUAAACUCCUUCUCAAGGCU
rnacentral:tRNA from 1 species